GAAUAGUCCUGUCUGAAUCUUUCAUCCUUUUCUAACCUUGAAACUAAGGAGUUAGGACUUUCUCACACCUUCAAGCACACAGUUGUGUAAUAAUUCAAGGAGAAAGGAGCUUCUAAACCUGGAUGACAAAACUUGGGGUCCUGUCAGUUUAGAAACAGCUUGGAUCUAGUGGGAAACAUGCAAAAGCUGAUGGCAUAUGAUGUCGCAGGGAGACCUGGAGGUUGGUACAAGUAGACAUGAAAUUGCACAGUUUUCAG